UAUCUAAUCCUUUAUAUCGAACUCAUCUUCUUUCUCACGCUUCAAUAUUCUCUGCAAACCCUAGAAACUAAAGUUGUUCUUCCUGUCGCUUUCUUAAUUCUAUUCAAUCAGAACUCAUUCGUAGAUUUAAUCUCCCUGUAAACCCUAUCUGUGCAUACGCAUUUUCUUCAGCAAAGCAACAAUGGUGUCUCAAGUUAGCUUUUUACGAUUGAUUAUGUAGAUUUAAUGUCGCAAUUUCAUCUGAACGUAGUGUUUUGAACAUUUUCAACUCCUUCGGCUGCCGUCUCUAAGGAUCAAAACCCUAUUUUCAACUCCUCAUUGAAUAAAAAAAUUCAAGUAUAAUCAUCAUCUUCUUUCAUUCGGAAUGUUCUGCAAAUGUAAGCAUUAGAUUCGUUUUUUUAUUUCUUCAAUUAGGGCUUCAUUUUCAUAUGAUUAGAUUCUUCAGACCUAAUCAUCUCGAUUCACUGAUUUGUUAUCGUUGGAGACUGAAAUGGUGGGUGCUAGGGUUUUAAACGAGUUCAGUUUCUCUCAGUCCUUUCUCUCUCAAAACCCUAGAUCAAACGAGUGCAAGUUCCUGUACUUCGUUCUCAUAUUCAUCAAUCAAUAACAUAGGUAUGUUUAUUCCUUCUGAUCUUUUAUGUUUUUUGUUCUGUGAUUCCAACCAUAAUAAUCGUGUUUUUUUUUGUUUUUGAUUGUGUAAACCCUAAAUGCUCCAUGUUUACAAACGGUGGUUAAUUCGUUUGUGUUCGGGUCAUACCAUACUCGAUCCAUCCAUUUUAUUUGGAUAUCUGAUUAGGGUUUCUUGGUCUCAUCACAAACUCGAUUUUUUUUCCGAUCCCAUCUGCUUUCUCUCUCUCUCUUUCUCCCUGGCGAUUCAAAAAGACGAAGGCGAUUCAAGUCGAUUGGUGAAGAUUUCGCGAUAUCAAUGAAGAAUCUAACCUGUCAGCCGGUAUACAGGUUAUUAGGAUUUGAUUUUUGAGUUAUUAUUAGUCUAUAUCUUUAUAGUUUUAAUCUGUUUUGACAUUUUAGUGUGAUUUAUUGUAGGUAUAAUAAGGAUAUUAGGAGUUUAAGUCUUAGUUGUGUGUUUUGAGUCCAUCACAAGCUGUCAAUAGAGGUCCGCCGAUAAUCCUUACCACGGUUCUGGUCGAUUAUAGUGUUUGAGAACUUGAAUUUGAGUUCGAUAGUUACAGUUGAAUACUGUCUGAUUUAAAUUCAGUUUGUUUAUUCAAAGUUAAGUUACUUGUCCUAAUUUAUUACAUGAUUUGAGUUAAUAUUAUGUAUUUUUGUGUACCAAGCUGAUGAUCAACACUACAUACCAAGGGCAUUGCUAAUGUAUUUGGAUCCCAGGGUGAUUAAUGGAAUCCAAACCGGUGAAUAUAGAAAUCUUUAUAGUCACCAGAAUAUAUUUAAUUCAAAAGAAGGAGGGGGUGCAAGAAACAAUUGGGCCAGUGGAUAUCAUCAGCAAGAAACUUGAUCAAACAUACAGUGUGUUUCCUAAUCAGAAUGAGAUAAGUGACGUGGUGGUCCAGCCAUACAGACUCUUUUGACUCUCAAACGACUUACACUUAACGCUGAUUGUGUUGUUGUUCUGGAUAACACUGCAUUAAAUAUCUUUCCCUGGUCGUUUCAUCACUGCGAUCCUGUACCCAUAUCUAUGAGAGUUGAGGCCGGGCACCAUCCGAUUAAAAGAUCCACACAAACAGAGUGAUUGCCGGUUGUAGCGCUAUUCUCUGCAGUUUGUACCAUUUAUCCAGGAGAUCUUCAUUUUAAGGCGGUGGAUUUGAGAUUUAUAUAAAUGUACUUGAUUCUUAUAAUUUUUUUAUUCACCUCUUAUGUAUGAAGAUUGUAAAGAGACCACUAUUAUGACCAUAUGUAUAUAAUGUGGUUUUGAUAUGUGGAAAUGUAGAUUCACUUACGGUUGAUGGGUU